UACGGGGGGAGCAAGCGUUGUUCGGAUUUACUGGGCGUAAAGGGCGCGUAGGCGGCCAGCACAAGUCAGUUGUGAAAUCUCCGGGCUUAACUCGGAAAGGUCAACUGAUACUGUGCGGCUAGAGUGCAGAAGGGGCAACUGGAGUUCUCGGUGUAGCGGUGAAAUGCGCAGAUAUCAGGAGGAACACCGGUGGCGAAGGCGGUUCUCUGGGCAUUACCUGACGCUGAGGAGCGAAAGUGUGGGGAGCGAACGG
rnacentral:rRNA from 1 species